rnacentral:rRNA from 1 species
UACGAACUGUGCGAACGUUAUUCGGAAUCACUGGGCUUACAGGGUGCGUAGGCGGCUUGUUAAGUAGGGUGUGAAAUCCCCCGGCCCAACCGGGGAAUGGCGCUCUAAACUAGCAGGCUUGAGUGAGCUAGGGGUACACGGAACUUCCAGUGGAGCGGUGAAAUGUGUUGAUAUUGGAAGGAACACCGGAGGCGAAAGCGGUGUACUGGGGCUCAACUGACGCUGAGGCACGAAAGCCAGGGGAGCGAACGGG